UACGUAGGUGGCAAGCGUUGUCCGGAUUUACUGGGCGUAAAGAGCGCGCAGGCGGUCGUUCAAGUCGCGUGUGAAAGCCCCCGGCUCAACUGGGGAGGGUCACGCGAUACUGAUCGACUCGAAGGCAGGAGAGGGUAGUGGAAUUCCCGGUGUAGUGGUGAAAUUCGUAGAUAUUCGGAGGAACACCAGUGGCGAAGGCGACUACCUGGCCUGUUCUUGACGCUGAGGCGCGAAAGCUAGGGGAGCAAACGGG
rnacentral:rRNA from 1 species